rnacentral:lncRNA from 1 species
AUGUUAAUGUGUGUACUGAAUCACUACAGAAAAUGUACAUCUUAUAGGAAGUCAAGGGCAGCAGGAAGAGCACACGUCCAGACACGGGCCGUGGGAGGGGCCGGAGGCUGGGAGGCCCUCUUCACCACAAUGUCUCUGGAGAGCUGGCCCAGCCGGCUCUCCCAGCUCCAAAUACCAUGUGCUCUACACCUGUGUUCAGUGUAAUGACAAAGAGAACCUCAGCCCGGGACCUAAGAAGCCAUCCGCAAGUGUUUGCUGAAGAAAUCAUUUCCCUGCGAAAUGUUAAGACGGGGUAGACAUUUACGAAGCGAAACCUCAGUUAUCUAGAACUGACACUCACCCAUCUAGAUUUACCCUUUCCUAUUUCACACAACAGACGAUGGCUUAUUGCUGUCAUGCGAGACCCAUGUUUUCUUUGUUUAACAUAGGCUGCAGGUCUUUAUUGAGAAAUACUUGACAUGUACCACAUGAUCCAGCAUUCUCAAUCCCAACUGGACAAAACCAUAAUUUGAAAAGAUACGUGCACCCCUAUGUUCACUGCAGCACUAUUUACAACAGCCAAGACCUGGAAACCACCAAAAUGUCCAUUGAUAGAGAACUGGAUAAAGAAGAAGUGGUAUAUGUACAUAACGGAAUAUUAGCCAUAAAAAAAUGAAAUAAUGCCACUUACAGCAACAUGGAUGGACAUGGAGAUUCUCAUACCAAGUGAAGCAAGUCAGACAGAGAAAGACAAAUACCAUAUGAUAUCACCUAUAUGUGGAAUCUAAAAUAGGAUACAGGAAGUUCUCGUCGUGGCUCAGCAGAAAAGGAACUGACUGGUACCCAUGAGGUCACAGGUUUGAUCCCUGCCCUUGAUCACUGGGUUAAGGAUCCAGCGUUGCUAUGGUGUAGACUGCAGACACGGCUUGAAUCUAGCAUUGCUGUGGCUCUGGUGUAGGCCAGUGGCUACAGCUCCCAUUCGACUCCUAGCCUGGGAAGCUCCAUAUGCCACAGGUGCAGCCCUAAAAAAAUAAAAAUAAAAUAGGAUACA